CAUGGCGCCUGUUUAUCAAAAACAUGGUUUUUUGAAUUUAAUAAAAAAUCUGGUCUGCUCACUGCUAUUAAGUAAAUAGCCGCAGUAUUAUGACUGUGCUAAGGUAGCAUAAUCACUUGCCUUUUUAUUGAAGGCUGGUAUGAAUGAUUUGACGAGAUGAUAUCUGUCUCUGAAUGGGGUAUUUGAAUUUAAUUAGAUGGUAAAAAGGCCAUUAUUAUCCUGAGGGACGAUAAGACCCUAUCAAGCUUUAUUUUUGAAUUUUACUGGGGUGGUAAUUUAAGACUAGGAUCUUAAUAAUAAUAUAUAGGAUAUGAAGACCCAAUAUUAUUGAGUAUUAGAUGAAGUUACUGUAGGGAUAACAGCUUAAUUUUUUUAUGAAGUUCUUAUUUUAAGAAAAGUUUGUGACCUCGAUGUUGAAUUAAGGGUUCUGUUUGGUGGAGGAGCUAAAUAAGGAAGUCUGUUCGACUUUUAAAACCUUACGUGAUCUGAGUUCAGACCGGCCAUGGG
rnacentral:rRNA from 1 species